CGUGGUGGAAUAAGCUGCUUCUCUCACAGCUCUGAAGCCUGGGUGGAGGCUUCAGGGUGUCAGGGAAAAGGCAAGACACG